GGAGAAACGAGAGAUUGAUUUAUUUCCAACUCCACUUCUAGAGCUAGAAAGUACCUGACCAAGGGGCCCAACUUGCCCCCGAGAACACGAGGAUUAUUCCAGUCUUCCAGUUCCCAGUAUUAGAAGGAAGAGGUUCCAGUACAAAAACAAUUCACCCCAUGCCUGAAGAGUGCAGAAGUGGCACUCGUGGUGCUGAUCCCGACUGCUCCCAGACACGGGAGCGCCCGGACACCCGGUGCAGUGUGCUCAGCCCCUCCCAGCCAUGCGGUGACCCUGGGACAGCACCCAGCCGCCCAGCCCAGGCACCCCAAUUUGACCUUCACGUUGCAGGGAUGGGGGGAGGUAUGAACAGAAAGAGGUGAAGCAAAAUACCCCCACAGGGCAGGAUCGGGUGAUGGGAUCCCGGGCUGUGAGCAGAGGUGCUUGGCGGAAAGAGCCACCAGCAGACAGGAAAAGCCCUUUGGGGUGCAGCAGCGUGAAGAUGGUGCAGACCCCCACCAUGCUGAGCAGCACGGGGAGGUGGGGAGCAGGACCCCUCUAGUUAAGCCCAUGGGCACAACAAAAGGGUGGCCAACAGGCACAGAUGCCCGGAGGUGCCGAGCCGGCCUGUGCCAGGCCAACACCCUGCGGCCGAGCGUGCUGGGGGGGUGUGGAGGAAGGCUGCCCACGCUGCAGCUUCACUGUCACCACUGGACAGGGAAGUGGCCAGAGCUGCCAUCUGGAAGAAGAGGAGCUGGGAAGUGCUGCUGCGAGGCCAGAUCCAGCUCCGUUCAGGUGGGGUCAGAGGGCUGGCGUGGCUCUGUCGGGGGAGCCGGCCGCCGGCUCGCUCUCUCCCUUUGGCUCCAGCUGCGUGUCCAGUGAGUCGAUGAUUUCCCAGGCUCCGGAGCAGCUGGACGUGGGGGGGUCUUUGCUGCUGCCCUGAUACCACAGCCCAAAACUGCACAGAGAGCAGAUAACGGCCGUGGGGGAGAAGAGCUUUCCCAGGGAAGCAGCCGGAUCCCAACCUCCCUCCGCGUUUGGUGGUGGCAGCGGGACGCAGCCCAGCUGCAAUCCCCUGGGAGCGCCCAGGGGCAGCAGCAAGGCUUGCCCUGUACCUGCCCCUGCCCAGGACGAGGCAGAUCCCCCCCUGAACCAAGUGGCCCCCCUUUCAGCAGCAUCCCAGCCAGCCCCGCGCUGGGCAGGCCACCUCCGUCCCCGUCACACCCUGCAGGACAGGCACCAAGCUCAGCAGGCGCUGGCUCCACAGCAAAGCCCCAAACCUCCUCUCUGCUGGCAGAGCCGCCCGUCCCCACCAACACCCGAGCACGGGAGCAAACUUACAAGCUCCUAAUUUUGGAUUCAGGAGACUGAGCAUCCACAGAGUCUGUGCCGUGAGCUGGGAGCCAGGAGCCCUCAUCUUCAUCGCUGCAGCACAAAGAAGUGGGGGAAAAACCUGUGCUGAGUCACAGGCUCACCACAGCAGCGUGUCAGAGCCACCCUGGGGCUCCAUCCUGAGCUGAGCAGUGUCCCCCACAGAGACACAUGUGCAGAGGUGGCUGCAGAGCCAGGGAUGUGGGGACUGGAGCCACUGUCCCCCGAAGCACCGGCAGGCUGUGAUGUGCCACAAGGCCACAGCAAUGCUGGUGUCCCAGAUACAGCUGUGUUUCAUGGCAAGCCCAGCCCUGACUCGGUGACCUUGAGCCACAAGGCUCUCCAGACGUCGGCUUCAAACCCCCAGCACUUGGCCAGCGGAUGGUGUGUCCCCGCUUGCCA
rnacentral:lncRNA from 1 species